UACAGAGGUCUCGAAGCGUUGUUCGGAAUCACUGGGCGUAAAGGGUGCGUAGGCGGGUCUUUAAGUCAGGGGUGAAAUCCUGGAGCUCAACCUCCAGAACUGCCUUUGAUACUGAGGAUCUUGAGUUCGGGAGAGGUGAGUGGAACUGCGAGUGUAGAGGUGAAAUUCGUAGAUAUUCGCAAGAACACCAGUGGCGAAGGCGGACUCACUGGCCCGAUACUGACGCUGAGGUGCGAAAGCGAUGGGGAGCAAACAGGG
rnacentral:rRNA from 1 species